GGAUGCCUAGGCAAUCAGAGGCGAUGAAGGACGUGCUAAUCUGCGAUAAGCGUCGGUAAGGUGAUAUGAACCGUUACAACCGACGAUUUCCGAAUGGGGAAACCCAGUGCAAUUCGUUGCACUAUCGUUUGAUGAAUAUAUAGUCAAACGAAGCGAACCGGGGGAACUGAAACAUCUCAGUACCCCGAGGAAAAGAAAUCAACCGAGAUUCCCCUAGUAGCGGCGAGCGAACGGGGAGCAGCCCAGAGUCUUAAUCAGCAUUAGCAUCAGGAGAACGGUCUGGAAAGUCCGGCAGUAAAGGGUGAUAGCCCCGUAUCCGAAGGUGUUAGUGUUGUGAACUCGACGAGUAGGGCGGGACACGUGUUAUCCUGUCUGAAUAUGGGGGGACCAUCCUCCAAGGCUAAAUACUCCUGAUUGACCGAUAGUGAACCAGUACCGUGAGGGAAAGGCGAAAAGAACCCCGGCGAGGGGAGUGAAAUAGAACCUGAAA
rnacentral:ncRNA from 1 species